rnacentral:rRNA from 1 species
UACGGAGGGGGCUAGCGUUGUUCGGAAUUACUGGGCGUAAAGCGCGUGUAGGCGGUUAUGCAAGUCGGGUGUGAAAGCCCGGAGCUCAACUCCGGAAGUGCAUUCGAUACUGCGUAGCUAGAGUACUGGAGAGGAUGGUGGAACUCUCGGUGUAGAGGUGAAAUUCGUAGAUAUCGAGAAGAACACCGGUGGCGAAGGCGGCCAUCUGGACAGAUACUGACGCUGAGGCGCGAAAGCGUGGGGAGCAACAGG